UCCGCGAUAGCUCAGUUGGUAGAGCGUUCGACUGUUAAUCGAAUGGUCGCAGGUUCGAGCCCUGCUCGCGGAGCCA
rnacentral:tRNA from 1 species